GUGGGGAAUAUUGGACAAUGGGCGAAAGCCUGAUCCAGCCAUGCCGCGUGUGUGAAGAAGGUCUUCGGAUUGUAAAGCACUUUAAGUUGGGAGGAAGGGCAGUAAGUUAAUACCUUGCUGUUUUGACGUUACCGACAGAAUAAGCACCGGCUAACUUCGUGCCAGCAGCCGCGGUAAUACGAAGGGUGCAAGCGUUAAUCGGAAUUACUGGGCGUAAAGCGCGCGUAGGUGGUUCGUUAAGUUGGAUGUGAAAGCCCCGGGCUCAACCUGGGAACUGCAUCCAAAACUGGCGAGCUAGAGUACGGUAGAGGGUGGUGGAAUUUCCUGUGUAGCGGUGAAAUGCGUAGAUAUAGGAAGGAACACCAGUGGCGAAGGCGACCACCUGGACUGAUACUGACACUGAGGUGCGAAAGCGUGGGGAGCAAACAGGAUUAGAUACCCCGGUAGUCC
rnacentral:rRNA from 1 species